rnacentral:rRNA from 1 species
UACAGAGGGUGCGAGCGUUAAUCGGAAUUACUGGGCGUAAAGCGCGCGUAGGCGGCUUUGCAAGUCGGGUGUGAAAUCCCCAGGCUUAACCUGGGAACUGCAUUCGAGACUGCAUUGCUAGAGUAUGGGAGAGGGAAGUGGAAUUUCCGGUGUAGCGGUGAAAUGCGUAGAUAUCAGAAGGAACAUCAGUGGCGAAGGCGGCUUUCUGGACCAAUACUGACGAUCAGGUGCGAAAGCGUGGGGAGCAAACAGG